UACGUAGGGACCGAGCGUUGUCCGGAAUCAUUGGGCGUAAAGAGCGUGUAGGCGGCCACUUAAGUCCUGCGUGAAAUCUUGCGGCUCAACCGCAAGCGGUCGUGGGAAACUGGGUGGCUAGAGUGCGGGAGAGGAGAGUGGAAUUCCUGGUGUAGCGGUGGAAUGCGCGGAUAUCAGGAGGAACACCGGUGGCGAAGGCGGGUCUCUGGGCCGAUACUGACGCUGAGGAGCGAAAGCGUGGGGAGCGAACAGG
rnacentral:rRNA from 1 species